rnacentral:rRNA from 1 species
CGGCACAAGUGGUAGUCGGGUUUUAUUGGGCCUAAAGCGUUCGUAGCCGGGCAUUCAAGUCCUUGGGUAAAUUCGGCAGCUCAACUGUCGGAAUUCCGAGGAUACUGUUUGUCUUGAGGUCGGGUGAAGGUGUGGGCACUUCUGGAGUAGGGGUGAAAUCUUCUGAUUCCAGGGGGACCGCCUGUGGUGAAAACGCACACUUAGAACGAGCCUGACGGUGAGGAACGAAACCCAGGGGAGCGAACGGGAUUAGAUACCCCGGUAGUCCUGGGCGUAAACGAUGUCCGUUUGGUGUUGCACACUCUACGUGGGUGUGCAGUGCCGUAGCGUANGCGUUAAACGGACCGCCUGGGGAGUAUGACUGCAAGGUUGAAACUUAAAGGAAUUGACGGGGGAGCACCNCAAGGGGUUGGAGGCUGCGGUUUAAUUGGAUUCAACGCCGGAAAUCUCACUGGGCGUUGACAGCAGUAUGAUGUUCAAGCUGACGACUUUAACUGACCCGCUGAGAAGAAGUUCAUGGCCGCCGCCACUCCUGCUG